GGGCCUCAGGUUGACUUCAGGCAUGUUGGGCUCUCCAGGAGGGAGAAGAGGAACCUUUUCCGUGGGUUGAGGACUCCUAGAACCAACCUGAGACUCCGCGGCCUUAUACACCUUACGACGUGUGUGUGUGUGGCGGGGGAUGGGAGGGGAGGAAUCCUGUAGAACCCAGAUCCCAUCAUUCCAGCAACUUCCAGAGCGUUCGAGAAUGUCAUGUCUGUACCUGUCUUCUUUCAUCUUUUGUGCCAACUGUUUUAUCAAACUUCUACCCCACUUUAGGUCUUCCAGAGUACAACACAAAUAUACUGCCCAGGUUCUAAAACAUGUAUAAGAGUUGACAAAAUCAGCUGAGGUUGAGCAGAAAUUGUAUAGGAAAAAAUAGGAAAAACACAGAGACCAAUCUCAGCUGCAAGAAGGCUCAGCUAGACAUUGCAAGCAAAAGUAUAACUCCUGAAGGUCACUUUGAGAAGAUGAGGUAUCAAACAGCCGCUACUAUUGGGCAAGGUACAAGUAUCACAACACUAGUGCCAUCUGAGAAUCCAUGUCAACCCUUAGCUAAGGAAGUAGCUCCCAACCUGGAGAUCUCUGGGUCCUUGAGGGCUCUUAAAGUAGUUAUGGAGCUCAUUGAACUAUUUUCAACAUUUCAAAAAGAUAUCACGUAGCAAUUGUACGUCCAUCCUUAAUAAAACUGCACGAGCAAACUGAAA
rnacentral:antisense_RNA from 1 species